rnacentral:rRNA from 1 species
UACGGGGGGAGCAAGCGUUGUUCGGAUUUACUGGGCGUAAAGGGCGCGUAGGCGGCCACCGCAAGUCGGUUGUGAAAUCUCUGGGCUUAACCCAGAAAGGUCAACCGAUACUGCGGGGCUAGAGUGCAGAAGGGGCAACUGGAAUUCUCGGUGUAGCGGUGAAAUGCGUAGAUAUCGAGAGGAACACCUGAGGUGAAGACGGGUUGCUGGGCCGACACUGACGCUGAAGCGCGAAAGCCAGGGGAGCAAACAGG